GCAUAUCAAUAAGCGGAGGAAAAGAAACCAACAGGGAUUGCCYCAGUAACGGCGAGUGAAGCGGCAACAGCUCAAAUUUGAAAUCUGGCCCCAGGCCCGAGUUGUAAUUUGCAGAGGAUGCUUUUGGCGCGGUGCCUUCCGAGUUCCCUGGAACGGGACGCCAUAGAGGGUGAGAGCCCCGUACGGUUGGACACCAAGCCUUUGUAAAGCUCCUUCGACGAGUCGAGUAGUUUGGGAAUGCUGCUCUAAAUGGGAGGUAUAUUUCUUCUAAAGCUAAAUAUAGGCCAGAGACCGAUAGCGCACAAGUAGAGUGAUCGAAAGAUGAAAAGCACUUUGAAAAGAGGGUUAAACAGCACGUGAAAUUGUURAAAGGGAAGCGCUUGUGACCAGACUUGCGUCCGGUGAAUCACCCAGCUCUCGCGGCUGGGGCACUUUGCCGGCACAGGCCAGCAUCAGCUCGCUGUCGGGGACAAAAGCUUCGGGAACGUAGCUCUCUUCGGGGAGUGUUAUAGCCCGUUGCAUAAUACCCUUCGGUGGGCUGAGGUACGCGCUCCGCAAGGAUGCUGGCGUAAUGGUCAUCAGCGACCCGUCUUGAAACACGGACCAAGGAGUCAACCUUAUGUGCGAGUGUUUGGGUGUUAAACCCCUACGCGUAAUGAAAGUGAACGCAGGUGAGAGCUUCGGCGCAUCAUCGACCGAUCCUGAUGUUCUCGGAYGGAUUUGAGUAAGAGCAUAUAGGGUUGGACCCGAAAGAAGGUGAACUAUGCGUGUAUAGGGUGAAGCCAGAGGAAACUCUGGUGGAGGCUCGCAGCGGUUCUGACGUGCAAAUCGAUCGUCAAAUAUGCGCAUGGGGGCGAAAGACUAAUCGAACCCUUCUAGUAGCUGGUUUCCGCCGAAG
rnacentral:rRNA from 1 species